CAAGCUGAUAGGUCAUUUUCUGACUUAAAGCUUUGUUUGCAUGGCCUUAAUAUGUGUUCUUCCAUUGGAAUUAAUGGGAUUGUGUCCUGGCACCUAGAUUGGUUCCAGUCUGGUUUUUUAUUGACAUUUUCCUUUUCCUAAAGUAACCCCAGAACUUGUGAAAUCCUGGUGAAAAGAAAUGCUUCAUUUCUUACUUGACUUGGUUUUGAUGUUGAGUAGAAGGAAAUCCAUACUGCUUCUUCCAAAAUGGCUAUUCUCUUCACUCCUUCCCAACCCUCAUUUCUUCUUUCACCUUGAGCUGCAUUUGACAUGAACAUAAGCGAUGCACAUUAAAGUAACUGCUCACCUGAGCAAUCUGUGCUUUGUCAUUGUGGUUCUCUAAAUGAAAUUCAUAUGAAUUGACUAUAACAGUUACUAUGACUACAAAUGUACCAAAUCUGUCUACUGACUUUGAGCUGAAAAGAAGAAAGUUGACCCUUGAUGGAGAUGUUUAUAUCUUUCAUCUCAUUUACUGAGAUCUGGGGCGGGGGAAGAGGAGGCUGAGUUGAACCUGUGAUGUUAUCUGUGUAGGGUGCUUCCAGUGUUAAAACUCCCUUUAAUAUUGCAAAUCAGCACCUGCCUCAAAACUGUGAGCAUUAGAAAGUUGUCUGGGGCACUGAGAGAUUAAAUGACACGUCACACAGCUAGUAAAUAUCAAGCAUCAAAGGUCUUUGUGACAGCUCCCUAUAACACCCUUCAUGAUUUAAUCUGUGAAGCAAGUAGAAAGAGAUGUGUCAUAAAUAAGUAUGCUUGGAAACUGCAGGUAUCAUGUAAUUCCUGCCUUUGGGGUAACUAUCACAAUGAAAUUUUUCAAAAGGAGAAAAGGAAUCCGGUUCUCGUUUGUCCAGAGUUGAAUUUGGGCAUCUAAUUAUUUCUUUCAGUAUCAUCCAUGUUGAAAAUUUGGGACUAGGCACCAACCCUAUUUGUUCCUUUGCUGACCAAAGCAUUGCAUAGUCAGGCAAUCCAAAAUGCUUGUGUCUCAAGUAGUCCACCUGGUAUCCCACAUUCAUCUUGUCAAGAAGAGCAGCAUUAAAGAUUCUUUGUCAGAUAUCUGGGCACCUGGUAGAGAUCGGGGAUUGAUGGGCGUUAACAUGUUCUCUUGCUUUCCAGAAAAGUUGUUCUACAAGAAAUGUUGGUUGUGAAUUGGGCCAUAGGACUGAGGUGUGAGGAGUGUAUUACAAAUUUGGUAGACUAAAAAUUAUUGCCAUCUUGGUGUUCUUAACAAUAAAAGAUUCAUUUGUCAUGGCAUGGUGACAAUUCACAGAGCAGGAACUUUAGAACAGUUAUCAUUCCCUUCAUGCUUCCUCUUACUAGACUUCUAGGGAACCCAAGUAUUUGGGUAAGAGGAAGCAAGCAGGCAGGAAAAGCAGUACUGUUCAGUGGGUAGAACCCAAACUGUAAAUGUUGAAAUAAGUUAAGGAAACAUACAAGGUUGCUGCAGAAUGUCACUUUGAUGUUCUCAGAUUCCUGUGUUAUUAGAAACUCCAAAGUUCUAACUUGAGUAGGCGCUUUAUUAAAUGUUGAUUCAGCAAUUUUCUCUACCUCAGGAGGGUGCAGGGUGGUGCUAAGGGGCCAAGCAAGAAUGAUAGUUUAAAAAAAAAAAAAAAAAAGACCAGGUUUGGAUUUUGAUAAGGGUAAAUAGCCAAGAUAGUGACAAUAUCUCCUGCUUCUAAGUUUGUUCAGGGAAGAAGGUGAAGGUUGGCAUUAAGCUCUAUAGAAUAAGAUGUGUUAGUUAUUAUUAUGUUGGUUAUUUGGAAUUCAGGGUGAAACAGACUUGUUGGCUGGUGAGUUGGUUGGAGAUAGUAAAAAUUGGAGAGAUGCUUGACUUUUCAUACAGAACUCUCUUGUUUUCCAAAGGCUCAUCUUAUCAGUCAUACUUUUAUCCUAAUACACUCUUUUGUGCUAAAUUUAAAUUUAUGCUUGAAGGUGCUUUAUUUGUUAAAGAUAUGUAACUACUGAUGGGAAGAGCAUUUGUUAGCAAAUGGUGUUGUUGCCAUGGUUAUGAAAUUGUUCUGAUAAUCUAGAAGCUUCAUUACAAGACUAUCCUUUAGUAUGCCUCCUUGUUUUCGGGACACUGUGCUAAGCAUUCAGCAAAAGGUAGGCUCAGAAUUCAUAUAAGUGAAUAGUGUGCUCAUUGCCCUAACCUAGAAGUCCAUUUAUGAGACCUUGAGCAACUGUGCUGAUAAAAUCCUGGAGUAAUUGCACUUGAGUGAAAAAGGUAGAAAUGAUAUUACCAUCAUCAUUAGCAUGAAGAUUAUUGGAUCGGCAAGGGCAAAGAUUGUGAUAGAAGAACUCUAGGGUCCUUGUAACUUCAAUAACAUUUGCCACUUUAAUGCAGUAAUUUUUACACUUCCUGAAAUCUGGGAAUGGUAAUCACAUGUAAUUUGAAGAUAAGAACCAAAGACCUCUGUCUCUAGCAUCUUUUUGGGUCUUACUUCAAGAACUGAUAUGGGCAGAAAGCAUGCAGCAGCACAUGUUCCUGAAGUAGCCACAUGUAGAUGGAAGCAAAUAAGAGAAAACUGUAAGUAAUUCAGAAGGAAAAAAGAUGGCAAACUGCACUGACUUUUCAAGAGUAAAUGCCUAUGCUCCCGCAUCUCCAUAGGUUGCUGUGUGAUGUUUUUGAUGUGCCAUGGGAAGGAGAAGGGAGGCUGUGGAGGGCAGGUCAAAACAGCUUCCUAGUCACUAUUUCUUGGUCAUAAAAACAGCCAGUAUAUACUCAGGGAACUUUGCUUGGACUUUAAAUCUGAAUUCUACUCCGUACACCUGUCAUAGGCCAUUGAUCCAGAAUUUAGCUGAAACUAAGAAGACCUUACCUGAGAAGAGCCACUAAACUGUUUUAUACAUGGACUUCCUCUUAUUGUCAGUGGGGUGUGUCUUGGUGUUUGGUAGUUUCCAACUGACCACUGGGCUUCUGUUAGGUGGUUCCAGGGCAGAUACCUGGGGUUGUCAUUGCUUAGAUUGUGAGCAAAAACUGCCUUUCUGGCUUCCCAUUUCAAGAAUCAGUUAUCCCACUAGACCAGCAUAAGGCCAUGUGUAGUAGUUUGCCUGAUGAAGCUCUGUAAGAAGACUAUUUUUGUCUUGACUAUCCAUCUCUGGCCUUUUCCUCAGCCCUUUGAGUCUGAGAAUAUUAUUCAAUGGAAAAUCAUUUAGUGAGGGAGGGAAAAUGAUAGAUUUAACAAGAACUACAACUUUUCAACUCUGUCCAUAGAUCUUCCCUCUCUGUACUUCACAGCACUGUUUUGGGAAAGACAGAAGUAGAGGGGGAAAGAGUGACUAUGAUAUUUUUGUAAAGAAGACUGGAACUGGAGACAAUAGUGUGGGAUCUUUUUACAUUAUUUACUGACAAUUAAUUUCUUUGUCUUGACAGAAAUUGGCAGCAACUUGCUUCUUUCCCUGUUUAUUUAGGACUCAGGCAGAUGGUUUUUGACAUUGAUAAUUCUACUGCCAGAUUUUUUCUACCCAAAAAGUUUCAAAUGGGAAUGUUAUUUGUAUCUAGUCUCCUAAUGCUACUCCUAGGCAGUAGCAACAGAAUUUACCUUGCUGAAACAGGUGGAUUUUCCUAAGUCCCAAGGUGCCAGUUGUCUAAGAUCAAACUCAUUUGAGUAAGAAUCUGCAUGUGUAAAGACUAAUACCGUUGGAGACUUUUGUGACUUACCUAAAUGAAAAGUCUUCUUUGACCAGCAUGAGAAUGUGGUUUUGUAGUGUGUGUUACCCAUUGGUAUUCAUUUCUGAUUUAGGUUGACAUUGAGGUUUUGUACAGUAUUAUGUGGCUAUAAUGUCAGAUGCUGAACAAAGAAACCACGUGAUAUGAUGAAAUUUGUUUCAAAGUAUGGAAAAAUGCAUCCUCCAUUGGGCUAAGGAAAGACCAUAUCUACAAUACAGCUUUAUGUUUCUAGUAA